rnacentral:rRNA from 1 species
ACGGAAGGCAGCAGUAAGGAAUAUUGGGCAAUGGGCGCAAGCCUGACCCAGCAAUGCCGCGUGAAGGAUGAAGGUUUUCGGAUUGUAAACUUCUUUUAUACAGGACGAAUGAAUGACGGUACUGUAUGAAUAAGCCCCGGCUAACUACGUGCCAGCAGCCGCGGUAAUACGUAGGGGGCAAGCGUUGUUCGGAAUGACUGGGCGUAAAGGGUGAGUAGGCUGUUGAUUAAGUUGGAAGUGUAAUACCUGAGCCUAACUUGGGUGCUGCUUCCAAAACUGUUCAACUGGAGUGCAGGAGAGGUUAGCGGAAUUCCUAGUGUAGCGGUGGAAUGCGUAGAUAUUAGGAAGAACAUCAGAAGCGAAGGCGGCUAACUGGACUGUAACUGACGCUGAGUCACGAAAGCGUGGGGAUCAAACAGGAUUAGAUACCCUGGUA